UGGGGAAUAUUGCACAAUGGGCGCAAGCCUGAUGCAGCCAUGCCGCGUGUGUGAAGAAGGCCUUCGGGUUGUAAAGCACUUUCAGCGAGGAGGAAGGUGGUGAACUUAAUACGUUCAUCAAUUGACGUUACUCGCAGAAGAAGCACCGGCUAACUCCGUGCCAGCAGCCGCGGUAAUACGGAGGGUGCAAGCGUUAAUCGGAAUUACUGGGCGUAAAGCGCACGCAGGCGGUUUGUUAAGUCAGAUGUGAAAUCCCCGGGCUCAACCUGGGAACUGCAUUUGAAACUGGCAAGCUAGAGUCUCGUAGAGGGGGGUAGAAUUCCAGGUGUAGCGGUGAAAUGCGUAGAGAUCUGGAGGAAUACCGGUGGCGAAGGCGGCCCCCUGGACGAAGACUGACGCUCAGGUGCGAAAGCGUGGGGAGCAAACAGGGUUAGAUACCCUGGUAGUCCACGCUGUAAACGAUGUCGAUUUUGGAGGUUGUGCCCUUGAGGCGUGGCUUCCGGAGCUAACGCGUUAAAUCGACCGCCUGGGGAGUACGGCCGCAAGGUUAAAACUCAAAUGAAUUGACGGGGUC
rnacentral:rRNA from 1 species